GACGUAGGGCGCGAGCGUUGUCCGGAUUUAUUGGGCGUAAAGAGCUCGUAGGCGGCUUGUCGCGUUGUCCGUGAAAACUCACAGCUCAACUGUGGGCGUGCGGGCGAUACGGGCAGACUGGAGUACUGCAGGGGGAGACUGGAAUUCCUGGUGUAGCGGUGGAAUGCGCAGAUAUCAGGAGGAACACCGGUGGCGAAGGCGGCUCUCUGGGGACGGGUACUGGACGCUGAGACGCGAAAAGCGUGGGGAGCGAACAGG
rnacentral:rRNA from 1 species